rnacentral:hammerhead_ribozyme from 1 species
CGCCGAAACCCCUGGAAGGGGGUCGUCGUGGGUGGUGCCCGCGGCCUGAUGAAGGCAGCCCGCU